CGGGUUUGCAGAUUUUUUUGACUGUAAAAUCUAAAGUUGUGGACAAUGGUGUUCAAUUAUUUAUACCAUCAUGGACAAAGCUCUUAAGUCUUGAGCUUCCUUCGCUAAUUCACAGCAACAGUAAUGGCUUCUAUCAAUAAUAUCAUUUUGAUAAUCUUCAAACUGCUUUUCUUCACACUGCUUCUCAUCACUACCUCUUCAGCUUUCCAACCCCAACUUCAUGAACCUCACUUUCGUAAGAAGAUGAGGAUGGAGUAUAGAAGUGUUAGAAAGGCUGCGUUGGGAGGAAAGCCAGCAGUUUAUGAUUUCCCUUGGAAAGGUGGUUAUAAUCCUCCUCACAACAACCGUUGAUGUCUCUAUAUUAUUGGAUCAACAGAUUAUCAACCUUACAACCCUACAAAUAUUAAUUUAUGAUCUUUUUGUUGUUGUUUUGUUUCUAUUAUGUGUUCGUCUCUGUUGGUCACAAUACCCAAAUAUCUUCUCUUUUAUGUGUUCUUCUCUUUAUUCUUAAUAAUUGUUUUCUUUUGCUCUCUCUCGAUGUUGUUCUCUUUGUUUGUUGUUGUUUGUUUUCUAUAAAACAUUUUUAAUCAUAAUAAACGAUAUUCUUUAUAAAUGAUAGGUUGACUAAUGAGUAGGGUAGGGUUUAACAGAGAUAUUCAAAUGUGAUACUAUAACAAUUUUGGUCUCUACCCACACAAAGAAAUGUGAUCAGAUAUUAAGAAAAACAUGGGUAGAGCUUUUGUUGACGUUAUUUUUUGUGUGGUCGGAAUCCCGUCGUUUUUUCAUUUGCCCAGGUUGUUGACAUUACGUUGCCGUCCAUGUCAAUUAUAUUAAACUUGUGGGUAGAAAAGACAUUUCUGCCAAUGAAAUGAAUGUCGAUGAAAAAAUAUUUUUGCCUAUGAUCAUCGUCAUGUUGGCAAAAAUUAAUAGAAUUUCUAUCCACUUUUGUUUUAUGGAUAUAAAUUCUUUCUAUCUACAAAAUUAUAAGCUUUGAUAUUAAUUUUAUGUGUUCAACCAUGGAUUACUCAAAAAACCUAUUAUUUUGCUUACACUUGGACAAAUAAUAGGAAAAUGUGUAUUACGGAGGAUUUAGUGACAAUGCCAAAAGUAGAGAUAUAGUGAGCAUGUCACAUUCGAUGACUAUGACUCGCUGUGUAAAGGGACUUCGAUAUGACUUUAACAUAUACACUUUAAUCGUACAAUGCUAAGACUAACCCUCUGUCUCUCCUCAUUUGAUUCCAUAUCAAUCACCUUUUAUAUGGUCUCAAAGCAAAUAUCUUCUACUCCAAAUAAUUAUCCUUCAACAAUUAAUUUAUUUUUAUCCGUUUCCCAAAUCAAAUAUCCAACUGCUCACAAAAAUAUUAUAUUGGUGACAAUAUAAUUAUUUUUACUUCCCACAAAUUAAUUAUAUAUAUAUACAAAUACAUAUAAUUAACAUAACUUUUAAAAUCCACAACUUUAAUUAAAACCACACAACAUACAAUUUAAUCUAAUUAUCAACCAAACACAACAAUUCAAAUCCUCUAAUUAAUUAAAUAUUCAUCCAACAAUAUUUAGUUAAUUCCAAUUUUCACAAAAUAAAAUCAUCCUCAAUCAUUUUUUUCUCAAAAUAACACCCAAUAAAGUUGUAAUGCCUCAAGUUUAAGAGAUGAACAUGAAUGAAUCUUAUAUCACAUCUGAAUAAGAGGGAUCCUAAAGACAUGAAAUUAAUGUUAAGAAAAACUUAAAACAAAUAAAAGUUACUACUUGUACCAAUAUGGUGCAUCUUUCUUUUUUGUGGCUCAAUCAUAGGAACUCCAAAGUUUACGUCGUGUGCGGUCCAGAUCCACGUUGUCGGCCGCCAUACCUGUCUCCGUUCGCGAAGCAAAGCAGCGCGACCCUCUGCCUUCCAGUCGCAGCGCGACCCUCUGCCUUCCAGUCGCCGCGUGACCCUUUGCCUUCCAAUCGUGUGUUCCAAGUCGGCCCAUACUCCAAUCUUCCUUGCAAUCUCUUUUGCUUUAGUUUUGUGCGUCGUUGCCUCUACAUUGUUAAGGUGACAUUGGAGAGUUGGUGUUAAGGUUCUUGGGUUUCGCAGUAAGCUUCGUAGGAGUUCGAUUCUUUACUCCUUGGGAUUUGAUUGUUGGAAUUAGUUCGACCAAGGAUUUUUGCAUAAAAAUUGAGGUAAGGGUUUCUCUACUACUAGACUCAACCACCGUUAUAUAUAUAUGUAUUGAUGUAGACUGGUGUUGAAUGUGUAUGUGAAUGAUUGGAAUUGUGUAUAUACAUAAAUUGACGUAGACUUGAUGUUGAAUGCAUAUGAAGAUUGUCUGGGAUUAAAUAUGUAGCUGUGGAUGUAGGCAGGACGAUCUUAGUAGAUUGUGUUGUAUAAAAUUUUGGAUAUGAACUUGUGACUUUGAUUCGAUUGGGUGUAAGUUGUACUAAAGUGUGACUUGUACUGGUGAACUGAGGGGCGUUAUGACUUUGUGGUUUGAUUGACUGAUGUAUUAAAAUGUUAUUGAUUGAUUGAUGUAUUAAAAUGUUACCAACGGUCUUUGGACUAAA